rnacentral:tRNA from 1 species
ACCCUGGUGGCUCAGAUGGUAAAGCGACUGCCUGCAAUGCAGGAGACCCGGGUUUGAUUCCUGGGUCGGGAA